rnacentral:rRNA from 1 species
UACGUAGGGUGCGAGCGUUGUCCGGAAUUAUUGGGCGUAAAGAGCUCGUAGGCGGUGUGUCGCGUCGGCCGUGAAAACCUGGGGCUCAACUCUGGGCGUGCGGUCGAUACGGGCAUCACUGGAGUUCGGUAGGGGAGACUGGAAUUCCUGGUGUAGCGGUGAAAUGCGCAGAUAUCAGGAGGAACACCGGUGGCGAAGGCGGGUCUCUGGGCCGAUACUGACGCUGAGGAGCGAAAGCGUGGGGAGCGAACAGG